rnacentral:rRNA from 1 species
CAAUAGCGUAUAUUUAAGUUGUUGCAGUUAAAAAGCUCGUAGUUGGAUUUCGGUUAAGAGCGACCGGUCCGCCGUUUGGUGUGCACUGGUUGGUUUUAACUUCCUGUAGAGGACGUGCUCUGGGUUUAACGACCUGGACUCGGAGUCUACGUGGUUACUUUGAAAAAAUUAGAGUGUUCAAAGCGGGCUUACGCUUGAAUAUUUCAGCAUGGAAUAACACUAUAGGACUCCUGUCCUAUUUCGUUGGUCUCGGGACGGGAGUAAUGAUUAAGAGGAACAGUUGGGGGCACUCGUAUUUCAUUGUCAGAGGUGAAAUUCUUGGAUUUAUGAAAGACGAACUUCUGCGAAAGCAUUUGCCAAGGAUGUUUUCAUUAA